rnacentral:rRNA from 1 species
GACGUAGGGCGCAAGCGUUGUCCGGAUUUAUUGGGCGUAAAGGGCUCGUAGGCGGCUCAGUAAGUCGGGUGUGAAACCUCCAGGCUCAACCUGGAGACGCCACUCGAUACUGCUGUGGCUAGAGUCCGGUAGGGGAGCAUGGAAUUCCUGGUGUAGCGGUGAAAUGCGCAGAUAUCAGGAGGAACACCAGUGGCGAAGGCGGUGCUCUGGGCCGGAACUGACGCUGAUGAGCGAAAGCGUGGGGAGCAAACAGG